UACGUAGGGGCGCAGCGUUGUCCGGAGUUACUGGGCGUAAAGGGCACGCAGGCGGUGCGGCGCGUUUCGCGUGACAGCGGAGGGCUUAACUCUCCGAGGAUGCGAAAGACGGCGGCACUUGAGGGCCAGAGAGGGACACGGAAUUCCGGGUGGAGUGGUGAAAUGCGUAGAGAUCCGGAGGAACACCGAAGGCGAAGGCAGUGUCCUGGCUGGUGACUGACGCUGAGGUGCGAAAGCUAGGGGAGCGAACGGG
rnacentral:rRNA from 1 species